rnacentral:piRNA from 1 species
UGGAAAAGAAGACUCACGGAAUAACGGU